ACACGGGGGGCGCAAGCGUUAUUCGGAAUUAUUGGGCGUAAAGGGCGCGUAGGCGGUCUUGUCGGUCAGAUGUGAAAGCCCAGGGCUCAACCCUGGACGUGCAUUUGAAACAGCAAGACUUGAGUACGGGAGAGGAAAGCGGAAUUCCGGGUGUAGAGGUGAAAUUCGUAGAUAUCAGGAGGAACACCGAUGGCGAAGGCAGCUUUCUGGACCGAUACUGACGCUGAGGCGCGAAGGCGUGGGGAGCAAACAGGAGUAGAAACCCCAGUAGUCC
rnacentral:rRNA from 1 species